rnacentral:rRNA from 1 species
GUUUAAAAGCCUUCGGGUUGUAAGUACUUUCAGCGGGGAAGGAAGGGAGUAAAGUUAAUACCUUUGCUCAUUGACGUUACCCGCAGAAGAAGCACCGGCUAACUCCGUGCCAGCAGCCGCGGUAAUACGGAGGGUGCAAGCGUUAAUCGGAAUUACUGGGCGUAAAGCGCACGCAGGCGGUUUGUUAAGUCAGAUGUGAAAUCCCCGGGCUCAACCUGGGAACUGCAUCUGAUACUGGCAAGCUUGAGUCUCGUAGAGGGGGGUAGAAUUCCAGGUGUAGCGGUGAAAUGCGUAGAGAUCUGGAGGAAUACCGGUGGCGAAGGCGGCCCCCUGGACGAAGACUGACGCUCAGGUGCGAAAGCGUGGGGAGCAAACAGGAUUAGAUACCCCGUAGUCCAUUUUUUUUUUG